AGUUGAAACACAGGUUCCCCUACGAUCACCGAAUUUAAGCAACAUCGAGCCUGGUCAGUACUUAGAUGGUUGGCCGUUUGAGAAUACCAGGUGA